AGCGAACGCUGGCGGCAGGCCUAACACAUGCAAGUCGAACGAACUCUUCGGAGUUAGUGGCGGACGGGUGAGUAACACGUGGGAACGUGCCUUUUGGUUCGGAAUAACUCAGGGAAACUUGUGCUAAUAACGAAUGUGCCCUUCGGGGGAAAGAUUUAUCGCCAUUAGAGCGGCCCGCGUCUGAUUAGCUAGUUGGGGAGGUAACGGCUCACCAAGGCGACGAUCAGUAGCUGGUCUGAGAGGAUGACCAGCCACACUGGGACUGAGACACGGCCCAGACUCCUACGUGAGGCAGCAGUGUUGAAUCUUGCGCAAUGGGCGAAAGCCUGACGCAGCCAUGCCGCGGGAAGGAUGAAGGUCUUAGGAUUGUAAAAUUCUUUCACCGGGGACGAUAAUGACGGUACCCGGAGAAGAAGCCCCGGCUAACUUCGUG
rnacentral:rRNA from 1 species